AUGCACGCUGGCGGCUUGCCUCAUACAUGCAAGUCUCGCGCACAGACGAGGAGCUUGCUCCUCUGACGUUAGCGGCGGCCGGGUGAGUAACACGUGGAUAACCUACCUAUAAGACUGGGAUAACUUCGGGAAACCGGAGCUAAUACCGGAUAAUAUAUUGAACCGCAUGGUUCAAUAGUGAAAGACGGUUUUGCUGUCACUUAUAGAUGGAUCCGCGCCGCAUUAGCUAGUUGGUAAGGUAACGGCUUACCAAGGCGACGAUGCGUAGCCGACCUGAGAGGGUGAUCGGCCACACUGGAACUGAGACACGGUCCAGACUCCUACGGGAGGCAGCAGUAGGGAAUCUUCCGCAAUGGGCGAAAGCCUGACGGAGCAACGCCGCGUGAGUGAUGAAGGUCUUCGGAUCGUAAAACUCUGUUAUUAGGGAAGAACAAAUGUGUAAGUAACUAUGCACGUCUUGACGGUACCUAAUCAGAAAGCCACGGCUAACUACGUG
rnacentral:rRNA from 1 species